rnacentral:rRNA from 1 species
UGGGGAAUAUUGCACAAUGGGCGCAAGCCUGAUGCAGCCAUGCCGCGUGUGUGAAGAAGGCCUUCGGGUUGUAAAGCACUUUCAGCGAGGAGGAAGGGUAGUGUGUUAAUAGCACAUUGCAUUGACGUUACUCGCAGAAGAAGCACCGGCUAACUCCGUGCCAGCAGCCGCGGUAAUACGGAGGGUGCAAUCGUUAAUCGGAAUUACUGGGCGUAAAGCGCACGCAGGCGGUUUGUUAAGUCAGAUGUGAAAUCCCCGCGCUUAACGUGGGAACUGCAUUCGAAACUGGCAAGCUAGAGUCUUGUAGAGGGGGGUAGAAUUCCAGGUGUAGCGGUGAAAUGCGUAGAGAUCUGGAGGAAUACCGGUGGCGAAGGCGGCCCCCUGGACAAAGACUGACGCUCAGGUGCGAAAGCGUGGGGAGCAAACA